GCAUGGUCUUAGCUUGCUAAGGCCGAUGGCGACCGGCGCACGGGUGAGUAACACGUAUCCAACCUGCCGUCUACUCUUGGACAGCCUUCUGAAAGGAAGAUUAAUACAAGAUGGCAUCAUGAGUCCGCAUGUUCACAUGAUUAAAGGUAUUCCGGUAGACGAUGGGGAUGCGUUCCAUUAGAUAGUAGGCGGGGUAACGGCCCACCUAGUCUUCGAUGGAUAGGGGUUCUGAGAGGAAGGUCCCCCACAUUGGAACUGAGACACGGUCCAAACUCCUACGGGAGGCAGCA
rnacentral:ncRNA from 1 species